UGGCUUCCAUCGCGAAGGUUGGUGGUUAUCUCGGGUUCACAUCGGCAGCAACUAGUUCGUGGUGGGUUUCCAGGUGCCUUGUGACUUGGUGUGGAGAAUACUAAAAAAAAAAAAAAAGAGGUAGGGAGCACUGAUCUACAAGGUGAAGUGUAUUCCUGGCAUCGAAGGAGCGCAUUGGAAAGGAUGGUUACGUGCAUGGGGGCAGCGGUUACCAUGCAGUUGCCGUGCUUGAUGUGGGUAGCUUAGCUUCUUGUACAUGGGCAGGAAUGGAUGAGUGAUAAGAGAAACGGUUGGGAGAAAAA